rnacentral:lncRNA from 1 species
AUGGGUCUAACUUUUACAUUUGUAAAGCCGCAAAUUGGGGGUUCCUCAAUUUAGGGAGACUAAGAAUUCUCGCAAAAGUGAUCAUAUGCAAGAAGUCAGGGAUAAUAUGGUAAUCCAUAUAAUCCGCCGGUUAACCCGUUUUUUAUCCGUAUUAAAUAUGGGUCGGGUCGGGGCAAUUGAUCCGUUGUUUGAUUACCCAUUUUCGACCCGAACCAUAUCCGACCUGAUCUGCUAGUUUGCCACUCCUAUCAGG